UGUCUUGUAAUUGGAAUGAUGGUGACUUAAACCCUCACCAGAGUACCAAUUGGAGGGCAAGUCUGGUGCCAGCAGCCGCGGUAAUUCCAGCUCCAAUAGCGUAUAUUAAACUUGUUGCAGUUAAAAAGCUCGUAGUUGAAUUUCAGCGUUUCGCGUGUGCCUCUUUUGGCCCAUCUCGUCUCGCUUUUUUUAUUACUUUGAGAAAAUUAGAGUGUUUCAAGCAGGCUUUUGUCUUGAAUACUUGAGCAUGGAAUAAUAGAGUAGGACCUUGGUUCUAUUUUGUUGGUUUUGUUACCUUGGUAAUGGUUAAUAGGAACGGUUGGGGGCAUUCGUAUUUAACUGUCAGAGGUGAAAUUCUUAGAUUUGUUAAAGACGAACUACUGCGAAAGCAUUUGCCAAGGACGUUUCCAUUAAUCAAGAACGAAAGUUAGGGGAUCGAAGACGAUCAGAUACCGUCGUAGUCCUAACCCAUAAACUAA
rnacentral:rRNA from 1 species